UGGUGGGUAGUUUGACUGGGGCGGUCUCCUCCCAAAGAGUAACGGAGGAGCACGAAGGUGGGCUAAUCACGGUUGGACAUCGUGAGGUUAGUGCAAUGGCAUAAGCCCGCUUAACUGCGAGAAUGACGGUUCGAGCAGGUGCGAAAGCAGGUCAUAGUGAUCCGGUGGUUCUGAAUGGAAGGGCCAUCGCUCAACGGAUAAAAGGUACUCCGGGGAUAACAGGCUGAUACCGCCCAAGAGUUCAUAUCGACGGCGGUGUUUGGCACCUCGAUGUCGGCUCAUCACAUCCUGGGGCUGAAGUCGGUCCCAAGGGUAUGGCUGUUCGCCAUUUAAAGUGGUACGCGAGCUGGGUUUAGAACGUCGUGAGACAGUUCGGUCCCUAUCUGCCGUGGGCGUUGGAAGAUUGAAGGGGGCUGCUCCUAGUACGAGAGGACCGGAGUGGACGAACCUCUGGUGUUCGGGUUGUGUCGCCAGACGCAUUGCCCGGUAGCUAAGUUCGGAAUCGAUAACCGCUGAAAGCAUCUAAGCGGGAAGCGAGCCCUGAGAUGAGUCUUCCCUGAUACUUUAAGUAUCCUAAAGGGUUGUUC
rnacentral:rRNA from 1 species